UUUUUUUUUUUAGGUCAUUUUUCUGUAUUCUUUUUUAAUUUUCUGCCCAUUAUUCUCUAUUCUUUAUAUUUUAGCACACCUUUUAUUUUCUAUUCUUUAUUUUUUGGCCUUAUUUGUUUGUAUUCCUUAUUUAUUUUGCCAUUUAUUCCGCACAUUUUCCCCAUUAUUCUCUACUCUGCUAACCCAAUCCGGACCCUCCUGAAAGUGUCAAAUUGGUUUUGAAGGAGAUUUGUUAUCAACGAACUCACCUGAAACAAACGUAAUCGCAUUUCCUUAAGAGAAAUUAUAUUUUGACAAAUAUAAAACAGAAAGCAGAUACCUUAACACGGAAAUUACCAUUUUCCAGUUGAUCCAAAGCCAGUUGAUAUUCCGAUGUCUUUGGUAUUUAAUGGAUUUGAAGUAUCAGUCCAUUGCAUAAUUUUCUUUCUGCGUCCGUCCUCAUCUCGGAUUUUUCCUUUAUUCCUUUUUAACCUUAAAUACUUGUGAUUUAUUAUGACGAAUCAUUUUUCCUUAAUGUUUCGCCAAGCUUCGGCCUGGCCUUUUGUCACGGAUUACUGACUUUGAGUUACCUCAACCACCUAAUACUAACUCAUACAAAGGCUUCUUCUCAUUAUUGGUAGACAUCAAAGCGAUAUGGGCAUCAUUACUAGCCAUUACUUUGAACUUGAUACUAAUUCUUUCAGGAUUAUCUACAGUGAUGCCAUAAUCUGAGAGUUGUUUGUAUCUAUACGUAUUUGGCGUU
rnacentral:lncRNA from 1 species